rnacentral:rRNA from 1 species
UACGUAGGGUGCAAGCGUUAAUCGGAAUUACUGGGCGUAAAGCGUGCGCAGGCGGUUUUGUAAGUCUGUCGUGAAAUCCCCGGGCUCAACCUGGGAAUUGCGAUGGAGACUGCAAGGCUAGAAUCUGGCAGAGGGGGGUAGAAUUCCACGUGUAGCAGUGAAAUGCGUAGAGAUGUGGAGGAAUACCGAUGGCGAAGGCAGCCCCCUGGGAUA